AUUGAACGCUGGCGGCAUGCCUUACACAUGCAAGUCGAACGGUAACAGGUCUUCGGAUGCUGACGAGUGGCGAACGGGUGAGUAAUACAUCGGAACGUGCCUAGUAGCGGGGGAUAACUACUCGAAAGAGUGGCUAAUACCGCAUGAGAUCUACGGAUGAAAGCAGGGGAUCGCAAGACCUUGUGCUACUAGAGCGGCCGAUGGCAGAUUAGGUAGUUGGUGGGAUAAAAGCUUACCAAGCCGACGAUCUGUAGCUGGUCUGAGAGGACGAUCAGCCACACUGGAACAGAGCCACGGCCCAGACUCCUACGGGAGGCAGCAGUGGGGAAUUUUGGACAAUGGGCGAAAGCCUGAUCCAGCAAUGCCGCGUGCAGGAUGAAGGCCUUCGGGUUGUAAACUGCUUUUGUACGGAACGAAAAGCCCCGGGUUAAUACCCUGGGGUCAUGACGGUACCGUAAGAAUAAGCACCGGCUAACUACGUGCCAGCCGCCGCGGUAA
rnacentral:rRNA from 1 species